rnacentral:rRNA from 1 species
GACGUAGGGGGCUAGCGUUGUCCGGAAUCAUUGGGCGUAAAGAGCGCGUAGGCGGCUAGAUAAGUCCGGUGUGAAAGUCACAGGCUCAACCUGUGAAUGCCGCUGGAAACUGUCUGGCUAGAGUCCGGAAGGGGCGAGUGGAAUUCCUGGUGUAGCGGUGAAAUGCGCAGAUAUCAGGAGGAACACCAAUGGCGAAGGCAGCUCGCUGGGACGGUACUGACGCUGAGGCGCGAAAGCGUGGGGAGCAAACAGG